GACGAACGCUGGCGGCGUGCUUAACACAUGCAAGUCGAACGGAGAAUUUAUUUCGGUAAAUUCUUAGUGGCGAACGGGUGAGUAACGCGUGGGCAACCUGCCCUUCAGAUGGGGACAACAUCCCGAAAGGGGUGCUAAUACCGAAUACGAUCACGCUGCCGCAUGGCGGUGUGAUGAAAGAUGGCCUCUAUUUAUAAGCUAUCGCUGAAGGAUGGGCCUGCGUCUGAUUAGCUAGUUGGUGGGGUAACGGCCUACCAAGGCGAUGAUCAGUAGCCGGUCUGAGAGGAUGAACGGCCACAUUGGGACUGAGACACGGCCCAAACUCCUACGGGAGGCAGCAGUGGGGAAUAUUCCGCAAUGGACGAAAGUCUGACGGAGCAACGCCGCGUGAGUGAUGAAGGUUUUCGGACUGUAAAACUCUGUUGUUUAGGACGAAAGUGCCUGUUGCAAAUAGUUGCAGGUGUUGACGGUACUGAACGAGGAAGCCACGGCUAACU
rnacentral:rRNA from 1 species